AAAUGACUGAGAUAAUUUUCAGUUGACAUACUCAUCGUGUUGACUCGACAUUUGAACUUUUACAUAUUUGAAGCUCUGCAAUGAGAUAAAUUAUUUUAUAAAAGAUGGAGCAGAUUUUUAUAAUAAAUCUUUAGAUGAUUCCAACGUUAAAUUUAUGUUUCAAAGAAAUGCCUGAAUGCUCCACAUUUUUUUAUUGUUAAUUAUACUACUGCUUACUGUUGCUUUUGAACGUAGCCAUCACAUAGUCUGACUAUUCCAUGCAUUCAUGAUAAACGUGAGGAGAGAUAUGUAAAGGCAAACAUUCCAUAAUUAACUGACGCUUUACCUUUCCCGUUCAGCAACCAAAAUAACCGCUAGCGUGUACACCGUUUCUAUUCAUGGAAUAAAGUACAACCUUCGGAAACGAGCUUAUAGCUGUUAUGCGGGAGAUUUUUCUGAGUAUACCGUAACCUAAGUGUGCUUGCAGCGCAUCGCCAUCAUCACGCAUUUCUUUCGUGCAAUUCGUCGCACGCAACGCACAAUGCAACGCGAUCGCGUGUCGUUUCGCAUGCCGAUUUUAUUUCCGUGUAAACGAGAUAUUGCGGUGCAUUUUGCGCGCGCGAUGCGGCGCCAAUCGCGGCGUGCGAUCGUCUCUCUCCUCCCGCUGAAUCCCGUCGAAACGAUAAUUCUUAUUCCCCCGUGGAAGAUGACCGGAAGACCAGAACAAAACGAAACCUCGUUGAAUUUCUCAUCGGGAGAGGUUCCGAGGCGCGUGUGUGCACACGCUCUGCACGUUCGCGAGGCAGAAACCCGAAACCGUCGAUCGAUCCACGACUCGUCCCGAUACCUUGUUUAGAGUUUCCAGCGCAGCAGUAAUUACUGACGGGAUCGCGAAACCGGGCGAGAGGUGGCUUCUUCCACGAGCCCACAUCGAACUCUUGUUCGAUGCUGUUCAGGGCCGUGAGACGAAACUAUCUUGAAACGUUCGAGCACCCUGCAAAUAAAAUCUGGCACUUCAAGAAAACAAAUUUCAAAUUUGUCUGAACAAACUCAGUCAAUUUUAAACCAAUUUAAUCGAAUUUUAUACUUAAAUCCCGCGUACGUAUGAGAACAAUAAAACGAAAAGUGUGGGAAAUUAUUUAAUAAUAUAUCUGUAACAAGAGAAAGAGAGCGACCCGUUCGUAUCGCGGCCUAUUUCGUCCGUACGGUUAAGGUAUCCCUGAUGUCGGCAGGCAAGGAGAUUAGGGGGCUUGAAGCAAGCCAACCAACGGGCUUUCGGCAAGAUCAAUCGCCGCGAAAGCAAACCGCAACGACGAGUCAAUUAAGGGUCCUCGAUACCUACGUCAAAUACGUCGGGAUACGACGUCAGAGAAUCGAGGAAGAUGCAAGAAAACGAAUAAUUCCCUCUCUUCACGCAGUCUAUUCACCUCGAAAAAUUAAUGAACCCUUCACGCUCACACAAAACCGCCCACAAAAAUGCAGCGAAAUAAGAACAAUAUGCCAACUCUUGAAUUCACUUCAUCGAAAUCGUGAGAAUAGUUGGACUGACUCAAGGCCAUCGAAAUAAAUUUCUAGAGUUCUCCAUUAACCUUUAAAACAAUGCUAUAUCAAGUAUAUUUGUUUUUAACUUUAAUGAAACUCUAAUUAUCUACUUUCGUUUAAUGUAGUAACAGAAUUUUUUUUCUAUCUUGCAAUGGAAUAGCAUUUUGAUUGUAUAAAGUCGAAUCAGGAAAAAAAUGAUCUUUUUUGUAUCACACAAUUUCAAUCAAACUUAUAACGAGUUUGAUACGGAUUCACGCGAAAUCCUUUGUACGCCCCAGUGAAGCAGUUUUCAAUUAAUAAAAGUUAACGUUUACGUCUA